UUAAAUUGAAGAGUUUGAUCAUGGCUCAGAUUGAACGCUGGCGGCAGGCCUAACACAUGCAAGUCGAACGGUAACAGGAAGCAGCUUGCUGUUUCGCUGACGAGUGGCGGACGGGUG
rnacentral:rRNA from 3 species